rnacentral:lncRNA from 1 species
CUCUUCACAGCAUAGGUAAAACACUGGAUUUGUGGAACUGCACCUUUAAUCCCAGAAAAGUUGGUAUCAAAACAUGGAAUUACUUGUGACAAAAGAAAGCGCUUUCAUGAAGAGACAGGAGGAGUGUUAGUUGUGGAACUUUCUAUUCGAAGCCGAGGCUUCUCCGGUCAUUAUACUUUCUCAGGUAAGAAAGUGCCAGACCUUGAAGCAAUGGGGUUCUGUUUUCUUGUAAAGGACAAGCAUCCUAAAUCACUUAGAUAUGCACUAAAAACAAAGCCUUCCAAAG